rnacentral:rRNA from 1 species
AUUGAACGCUGGCGGCAGGCCUAACACAUGCAAGUCGAGCGAGCGGCGGACGGGUGAGUAAUGUCUGGGGAUCUGCCCGAUGGAGGGGGAUAACUACUGGAAACGGUAGCUAAUACCGCAUACUAUCGGAUGUACCCAUAUGGGAUUAGCUAGUAGGUGGGGUAAAGGCUCACCUAGGCGACGAUCUCUAGCUGGUCUGAGAGGAUGAGCAGCCAAACGGGGACUGAGACACGGUCCAGACUCCUACGGGAGGCAGCAGUGGGGAAUAUGGCACAAUGGGCGCAAGCCUGAUGCAGCCAUGCCGCGUGUAUGAAGAAGGCCUUCGGGUUGUAAAGUACUUUCAGCGGGGAGGCGUUACCCGCAGAAGAAGCACCGGCUAACUCCGUGCCAGCAGCCGCGGUAAUUC